rnacentral:miRNA from 1 species
AUUUGAGAGUUGGAAUGGGCAG